rnacentral:rRNA from 1 species
ACUCCUACGGGAGGCAGCAGUGGGAAUAUUGCACAAUGGGCGAAAGCCUGAUGCAGCAAUGCCGCGUGUGUGAAGAAGGCCUGCGGGUUGUAAAGCACUUUUAUCGGGAAAGAAAACCAGGGCUAAUACCCUUGGUCUUGACGGUACCCGUUGAAUAAGCACCGGCUAACUCCGUGCCAGCAGCCGCGGUAAUACGAAGGUGGCAAGCGUUGUUCGGAUUUACUGGGCGUACAGGGUGUGUAGGCGGUUCGGUAAGCCCUCUGGGAAAUCUCUGGGCUCAACCCAGAAAGGUCAGAGGGGACUGCCGGGCUAGAGGACGGGAGAGGAGCGCGGAAUUCCCGGUGUAGCGGUGAAAUGCGUAGAUAUCGGGAGGAAGGCCGGUGGCGAAGGCGGCGCUCUGGAACGUACCUGACGCUGAGACACGAAAGCGUGGGGAGCAAACAGGAUUACAUACCCUGGUA